rnacentral:rRNA from 1 species
UACGUAGGCAGCAAGCGUUGUUCGGAGUUACUGGGCGUAAAGAGUGCGUAGGUGGUGCCCUAAGUCUGUUGUGAAAUCUCCCGGCUUAACUGGGAGGGUGCGGUGGAAACUGGGGUGCUUGAGUGUGGGAGAGGUAAGCGGAAUUCCUGGUGUAGCGGUGAAAUGCGUAGAUAUCAGGAGGAACACCGGUGGUGUAGACGGCUUACUGGACCACGACUGACACUGAGGCACGAAAGCGAGGGGAGCAAACGGG